rnacentral:rRNA from 1 species
UACGUAGGGACCAAGCGUUGUUCGGAUUUACUGGGCGUAAAGGGCGCGUAGGCGGCGUGUCAAGUCAAUUGUGAAAUCUCCGAGCUUAACUCGGAACGGUCAAUUGAUACUGAUGUGCUAGAGUGCAGAAGGGGCAAUCGGAAUUCUUGGUGUAGCGGUGAAAUGCGUAGAUAUCAAGAGGAACACCUGAGGUGAAGACGGGUUGCUGGGCUGACACCGACGCUGAGGCGCGAAAGCUAGGGGAGCAAACAGG